rnacentral:rRNA from 1 species
GGGUUGUGAGGUUAAGCGACUAAGCGUACACGGUGGAUGCCCUGGCAGUCAGAGGCGAUGAAGGACGUGCUAAUCUGCGAUAAGCGUCGGUGAGGUGAUAUGAACCGUUAUAACCGGCGAUUUCCGAAUGGGGAAACCCAGUGUGUUUCGACACACUAUCAUUAACUGAAUCCAUAGGUUAAUGAGGCGAACCGGGGGAACUGAAACAUCUAAGUACCCCGAGGAAAAGAAAUCAACCGAGAUUCCCCCAGUAGCGGCGAGCGAACGGGGAGGAGCCCAGAGCCUGAAUCAGUGUGUGUGUUAGUGGAAGCGUCUGGAAAGGCGUGCGAUACAGGGUGACAGCCCCGUACACAAAAAUGCACAUAUUGUGAGCUCGAUGAGUAGGGCGGGACACGUGGUAUCCUGUCUGAAUAUGGGGGGACCAUCCUCCAAGGCUAAAUACUCCUGACUGACCGAUAGUGAACCAGUACCGUGAGGGAAAGGCGAAAAGAACCCCGGCGAGGGGAGUGAAAAAGAACCUGAAACCGUGUACGUACAAGCAGUGGGAGCCUCUUAAUGGGGUGACUGCGUACCUUUUGUAUAAUGGGUCAGCGACUUAUAUUCUGUAGCAAGGUUAACCGAAUAGGGGAGCCGAAGGGAAACCGAGUCUUAACUGGGCGUUAAGUUGCAGGGUAUAGACCCGAAACCCGGUGAUCUAGCCAUGGGCAGGUUGAAGGUUGGGUAACACUAACUGGAGGACCGAACCGACUAAUGUUGAAAAAUUAGCGGAUGACUUGUGGCUGGGGGUGAAAGGCCAAUCAAACCGGGAGAUAGCUGGUUCUCCCCGAAAGCUAUUUAGGUAGCGCCUCGUGAAUUCAUCUCCGGGGGUAGAGCACUGUUUCGGCAAGGGGGUCAUCCCGACUUACCAACCCGAUGCAAACUGCGAAUACCGGAGAAUGUUAUCACGGGAGACACACGGCGGGUGCUAACGUCCGUCGUGAAGAGGGAAACAACCCAGACCGCCAGCUAAGGUCCCAAAGUCAUGGUUAAGUGGGAAACGAUGUGGGAAGGCCCAGACAGCCAGGAUGUUGGCUUAGAAGCAGCCAUCAUUUAAAGAAAGCGUAAUAGCUCACUGGUCGAGUCGGCCUGCGCGGAAGAUGUAACGGGGCUAAACCAUGCACCGAAGCUGCGGCAGCGACACUAUGUGUUGUUGGGUAGGGGAGCGUUCUGUAAGCCUGUGAAGGUGUGCUGUGAGGCAUGCUGGAGGUAUCAGAAGUGCGAAUGCUGACAUAAGUAACGAUAAAGCGGGUGAAAAGCCCGCUCGCCGGAAGACCAAGGGUUCCUGUCCAACGUUAAUCGGGGCAGGGUGAGUCGACCCCUAAGGCGAGGCCGAAAGGCGUAGUCGAUGGGAAACAGGUUAAUAUUCCUGUACUUGGUGUUACUGCGAAGGGGGGACGGAGAAGGCUAUGUUGGCCGGGCGACGGUUGUCCCGGUUUAAGCGUGUAGGCUGGUUUUCCAGGCAAAUCCGGAAAACCAAGGCUGAGGCGUGAUGACGAGGCACUACGGUGCUGAAGCGACAAAUGCCCUGCUUCCAGGAAAAGCCUCUAAGCAUCAGGUAACAUCAAAUCGUACCCCAAACCGACACAGGUGGUCAGGUAGAGAAUACCAAGGCGCUUGAGAGAACUCGGGUGAAGGAACUAGGCAAAAUGGUGCCGUAACUUCGGGAGAAGGCACGCUGAUAUGUAGGUGAAGCGACUUGCUCGUGGAGCUGAAAUCAGUCGAAGAUACCAGCUGGCUGCAACUGUUUAUUAAAAACACAGCACUGUGCAAACACGAAAGUGGACGUAUACGGUGUGACGCCUGCCCGGUGCCGGAAGGUUAAUUGAUGGGGUUAGCGGUAACGCGAAGCUCUUGAUCGAAGCCCCGGUAAACGGCGGCCGUAACUAUAACGGUCCUAAGGUAGCGAAAUUCCUUGUCGGGUAAGUUCCGACCUGCACGAAUGGCGUAAUGAUGGCCAGGCUGUCUCCACCCGAGACUCAGUGAAAUUGAACUCGCUGUGAAGAUGCAGUGUACCCGCGGCAAGACGGAAAGACCCCGUGAACCUUUACUAUAGCUUGACACUGAACAUUGAGCCUUGAUGUGUAGGAUAGGUGGGAGGCUUUGAAGUGUGGACGCCAGUCUGCAUGGAGCCGACCUUGAAAUACCACCCUUUAAUGUUUGAUGUUCUAACGUUGGCCCCUGAUCGGGGUUGCGGACAGUGUCUGGUGGGUAGUUUGACUGGGGCGGUCUCCUCCUAAAGAGUAACGGAGGAGCACGAAGGUUGGCUAAUCCUGGUCGGACAUCAGGAGGUUAGUGCAAUGGCAUAAGCCAGCUUGACUGCGAGCGUGACGGCGCGAGCAGGUGCGAAAGCAGGUCAUAGUGAUCCGGUGGUUCUGAAUGGAAGGGCCAUCGCUCAACGGAUAAAAGGUACUCCGGGGAUAACAGGCUGAUACCGCCCAAGAGUUCAUAUCGACGGCGGUGUUUGGCACCUCGAUGUCGGCUCAUCACAUCCUGGGGCUGAAGUAGGUCCCAAGGGUAUGGCUGUUCGCCAUUUAAAGUGGUACGCGAGCUGGGUUUAGAACGUCGUGAGACAGUUCGGUCCCUAUCUGCCGUGGGCGCUGGAGAACUGAGGGGGGCUGCUCCUAGUACGAGAGGACCGGAGUGGACGCAUCACUGGUGUUCGGGUUGUCAUGCCAAUGGCACUGCCCGGUAGCUAAAUGCGGAAGAGAUAAGUGCUGAAAGCAUCUAAGCACGAAACUUGCCCCGAGAUGAGUUCUCCCUGAGACUUAGAGUCUCCUGAAGGAACGUUGAAGACGACGACGUUGAUAGGCCGGGUGUGUAAGCGCAGCGAUGCGUUGAGCUAACCGGUACUAAUGAACCGUGAGGCUUAACCUUACAACGCCGAAG